CUUUCCUGUGAGCAGAGCCAGCUCUGAUCCAGUUUUCUCAUUUAGGAAUUAAGAAAAUGUGAAUGUCCUGAUGGAAGUGUCCUACCAGUUCAUCAUCACAUCCACAAAUAUAUGUCCUCAUCUUCAUCUUUCCUCUAGAGAACUUUAAGGAAUUCUGAUCUCAAAUGGUCAAGGAAGGACAUAUUCUGAGGGGUAAUGGUGUAAUCCAGUUUCCAGUGGAGUCUGUGGCUGUGGGUCAUUUGACUCAUAGACUUGGAUCAGACCCAGACCCUACGCAUCUACACUGCAGUCAGUCAGCAGUCAAUUUUGCCCUGAUGCUAUUGGAAAACAGAUUAAACUGUUUAGCUUUCAUAGUUCUGAAUUAGUUGGACAGUCUCAGAUGAAAAAGAAAUACGUAACUGCAGAGGUGUAAAUAUGAAGGGGAAACGCUCAGGAUUUCAGCUUUCCCUGUGUUACUGAUCACCUCUAUCACUCGGUGACAACCAAGUCCGGCAAAACCAGUGUAUAGCUUUGUAUGAAUAUGAAAAUGCCAGUCUUCAAGGUAGCUUAUCAAUUUAUUAUUAAAGCAUUAUUUUUCCUUAUUUUAGAUGGACUUGCCUUUGAAUUACCAUUGCUAUAUUGCAGAUGUUCGUAAGAAACAGGUGAUUAAAAGAAAAAUCUAAGUUUUUCACUCCCUAAGCUAUAAAUGAG
rnacentral:lncRNA from 1 species